GAUGAACGCUGGCGGCGUGCCUAAUACAUGCAAGUCGAGCGAACAGACGAGGAGCUUGCUCCUCUGACGUUAGCGGCGGACGGGUGAGUAACACGUGGAUAACCUACCUAUAAGACUGGGAUAACUUCGGGAAACCGGAGCUAAUACCGGAUAAUAUAUUGAACCGCAUGGUUCAAUAGUGAAAGACGGUUUUGCUGUCACUUAUAGAUGGAUCCGCGCCGCAUUAGCUAGUUGGUAAGGUAACGGCUUACCAAGGCGACGAUGCGUAGCCGACCUGGGAGGGUAAUCGACCACACUGAAACUGAAACAGGGUACAGACUCCUACGGGAGGAAGCAGUGGGAAACCUCCCGCAAGGGGGGAAAGCCUGAGGAAGAACCCCCAGGGGGGUGAUAAAGGUCUUCGAAUCGAAAAACUCGUUUAUUAGGAAAGAAAAAAGGGUAAAGUAACUAUCCCCUUUUGAGCGGAACCAAUCCAAAAAGCAACGGCCAACAGGGG
rnacentral:rRNA from 1 species